UCCCCUCUCGGAUUCCCGACUGAGAAGGUGGGAACCCCCUUCCAGGCCCCCCACCCCUUGUUUCUGUCCUCCUCUGUUUAGUCCAGAGAGGAGCUGAGGACCAGAGGGAACCAUCUGCAAAUGAGAACCCCAAAGCAGGGCGGGGGGGCGCACAUUCAGGCCAGCGGAGAGCCCCACGACCUGUCCCAACCUGGACCAACUCUGCGCGCAUGCCGACAUCCUCAGGGUCGUAGAAUGGGAGCGCCUAUGGGAAAAGGCCAAGGUGCCAGAAUCUGGAGACCACCAAGGCGGUCUCAAGGAGAAGCACGGGGGUUGGGGAACAGAGGAUUAAAGCCAGCAUAUCCAGGCUGAGAAAGGAGCAGGCACCGCAGAGGAGGAAAAAAAAAAUUAUCUCCUUGACGCUAUCACCUCCAGGGACCUAGGGUGGCCUCUCACCUUGGCGAAUAAUAAUCCCUGAAGUCUAGCAAUUACAGAAAUGCUUCCAGAGGUCUUCUUUCAUUCAUCCCGCGACAAUGACCAGGAAAGGUCACCAGCACCUCUGGUGGGUGAGAGAGAUGUGGUUCCUGAUUUCAUGUCCCAGCCAGGGACCCAUAAGGUAACUCUCCAGCACUGAACUAUCCUUGUCAACGUCUCCCAGAGAAGAGAGGACAAGCCCCUGGUACCAGACACUCGGCCCUGCCCUACAGACAGCCAGGCCUAAAGACUGGAAAGAAGCCAGGUGAUCACAGGUGAAAUGGUCCCAGAUGUCUUCCGAGCAUCAAGGACACCAUAGCAGGGACUUUCUGUGUGUCAUUCGGAGCUGGAUGGCAGCCCUGCAAGGCAGGCCCUAUUGCCGUGCCCUCCGAGCUCGGUGUCCUCUGAAAUGACUGAUUUAUCCAAGGCCGCCCAGCUGGUAAAUGUCAGAGCUAGGAUCUGAAUCCAGUCCUAAAACCCCU